AGCGAAAGUUGGCCUAAUGCCCUAUGUAGUCGUUUGAUCGCCUGAGAUUUCGACGAAAGAUUUAUCGGUAUUGGGAUGGGGGAUGCGUCUGAUUAGGCUUGUUGGCGGGUAAAGGCCCACCAAGGCAACGAUCAGUAGGGGUUCUGAGAGGAAGGUCCCCCACAUUGGAACUGAGACACGGUCCAAACUCCUACGGGAGGCAGCAGUGAGGAAUAUUGGUCAAUGGGCGAGAGCCCUGAACCCAGCCAAGUAGCGUGCAGGACGACGGCCCUAUGGGUUGUAAACUGCUUUUAUAUGGGAAUAAAGUGAGGGGGCGUGUCCCUUAUUGCAUGUACCAUACGAAUAAGGACCGGCUAAUUCCGUGCCAGCAGCCGCGGUAAAU
rnacentral:rRNA from 1 species